rnacentral:rRNA from 1 species
AUGCAACUGCCGUCAGAUCUGACGGACUGGCCGGCCAUACAGGGGCAGCCCGAUCUGGCCGAGGCACACCGGCGGGAGCCCACUGGGACCGAAGGCCAGCAGCCGAGGAGGCACAGGACUAGCACCAACAGGAAACACCCGAUCCGUUGGAGCGCCGCCACGAGGGCUGCGGGUCAGAUGCAAACCAGGAUGCACAAAAAGCAUAGGGGCUCGGGAGGUUCUGCGGGCAGCAGGAACGAGCAGAGAGAUAGCCGCGCCAGGAAGCGCCACCCCGCCGCCACCGCGGGCCAGCCAGGCGGCCGCCGCCGGCAGCGGUGA